AUGCAGUACCCAUACAAAUUUCUGUGGAAAGUGAAAAUGCCCCCUGGGGUUAAAGUUUUUAUAUGGUUACUACUGAGGAAAAGUAUUCCUACCAAACAAAAUUUAAAGAAAAGAGGAUGGCAGGGUGAUACAAAAUGCUCCUUUUGUGGGAGGGAGGAAGAUGUUGAACAUUUAUUCAUACACUGUUCUGUGGCUAAAAUGUUAUGGACGGUUAUGAAAUGCUCCUUUAAUAUACAUGAUGUUCCAGAAAGAAUUAAUGACAUAUUUGGCAGAUGGCUAACUAAAUUCUAG
rnacentral:rRNA from 1 species